rnacentral:lncRNA from 1 species
CAUGGUGACUCGGAACCGUUUAACUCCAGUUUCAAGGGAUCCCGCGCCCUCUGCUGGUCUCCACUGGUACUGCAUACACACAGCUCACAGACACAUGCUGGCAGCGUGCUCAAACAUGUAAGAUAGCGUGAAUUUUAAGGAGGUGAGAGAGCCUCAGGCUAUGACAGGAAGGAACAAAGCAGCAGGGCUCUGAGGAGAUCAAGAAGUCUAUUGACAUCAUCAUCUUUGAUCGGCUUGGAGAAGUAUUUGGGUUGGGGACCUAUGCAGAGGCUUCCGGGUGAGAACGGUGUUCCCCUAAAUUCAAAGGCUGCAAUAGUGUUAAAAGCCUCUACACCCAGGAAUCUCAGCUUUCACAAGAGGGUGCUGGCCCCAAACCAGAAAACAUCCAUGAGAGACUUCAAACGGACAACUUUAGGUCAGAAUAACCAUUGUAUUGCGUCUUCCCGGGACAGAGAUGCAAUGCCAAGGGACCGCCAGAAAAAUACAGUGUUCAUUCGGCUGCUAUUUUGCUUCCAUUUGUUCUGUCUGUAA